CGGUCCCUGCGAGAGCGCCGCCGAAGGCCCCCCUCCCCUCCCCGAUGGAAGUGAGGCGGCGCUCAAGGACGAAGAGGAGGCGCAAGGGCGCCCAUAGACUUACGAAGACGAGCGAGAGCUACGUUUGCUCUCGGUGACAGACUGGCCGAGGAUAAGGCCUGGGCGUUCCAGGACGGACGGUGUGAGGAGGUGGUGCCUGUGUUCCCGCGGUGCAGGCACUCCAGCAGCAGAAGACCCUGCUCCUUUACCUGAGAAUUAGGAGCCCAAACAGCUGAUGCACUGCCCUCACACACAGUUCCUGUAGCCAAACAAAACCCCAUUCCCUGCCCUCAAGGAGCCUCUCUAGUCUAAACCCGCAACAUUUCUAAUCAGGAGAGAAAGGGGAGGGAGAGGAAACAAGAUUAGAACCUGACGCCCCCUGACACCCUUUUUCCUCUCUUAUCGCUCCUUUCACUUUGUGUAAUGUUUUAUUAUUUAAUAAUUGUUUAUAUAUCAAUUUUAUUGUAGUAUUUAUGUUGUUAGCCGCCUAGAGUGGUCCUGACCCGACCAGAUAGGCGAGAUAUAAAUAAAAUAAAAUAAAACAAAAUAAAACA
rnacentral:lncRNA from 1 species